GAUGAAGAACGCAGCGAAAUGCGAAAAGUAGUGUGAAUUGCAGAAUUCAGUGAAUCAUCGAAUCUUUGAACGCACAUUGCGCCCCCUGGUAUUCCGGGGGGCAUGCCUGUCCGAGCGUCAUUACAACCCUCAAGCUCAGCUUGGUGUUGGGCCCCGCCGCCCCGGCGGGCCCUAAAGUCAGUGGCGGUGCCGUCCGGCUCCGAGCGUAGUAAUUCUUCUCGCUCUGGAGGUCCGGUCGUGUGCUCGCCAGCAACCCCCAAUUUUUUUCAGGUUGACCUCGGAUCAGGUAGGGAUACCCGCUGAACUUAAGCAUAUCAAUAAGCGGAGGA
rnacentral:misc_RNA from 1 species